AUCCUUUCGUGAGUGGUUUUCAUUUGAUUUGAUCCAAGACCAAUCCUGUAUAAUAACAACGAGAAGUUGAUACAAACAAUAGAAUGAUCAAGUAUUGGAUAGCUACUCCAUCAUAGGCAUUUUCAGUCUUUUUCCAUUCACGCUGUAACCACCAAUCAUAUCUGUGAUCGAUUCUAAAAUCUUCAAGAAGAUGCAGCUACAAGAUGGUUCUGGUAUAAAGUCAUUAAUAACCUCUCACAAGUUCUGAUUUCCUCCGUUGCCGGAAUGAUUAUGGACAAGUCAUGGUGGGAGACCAGAGCAUCGUUCCCCACAAAAAAGAUCACUUUGGCCGUGUUGUAAAGCUUGAGAAGUUCUCUCUCUAUGUUGAGGCUCUCACACGCAAAGCACCGAAGAGAGCGUCGGAAACGAACAAGACGUCGACAUUGUGGACGUUGGCGUCUCUAAGUUCCAUUCCCCUAAUUAUACUACAUCGUCGUUCGCCUCCGAUCACAACCAUCGCCGGAGCUUCAUGCCGGCAAAACCUCUGCCAUUCAAGAUAACGGAUGAGAUGAUCGGCAUGACCGUUCCGAGAAAGGCUCGUUGAGCAUCUGCAAAAAGGUUUCACGAAAGUUGGAUUUCCGCAAGCAGCGGUGGGGAGGAGCUGAAUUUUCGGCAACGAUCGAAUUCCCCCGGAGGACAGAGUGUUGAACCGGCCUCACCUUCUUCUUCGAAUGUUUCUCUGAGGAAGAAGAUGAAAGAGAUUAAACCUGUUUCUAAGACAUCAAAAUCGUCUUCGUCAGACCUCGAGAUUGAGAUAGCUGAGCUUCUGUAUGGUUUGAAGACUUCGAAGAGCCACGAGUCUUCUAAAAAGUUUGAAGCAAGCGUCAGUCCCUCUGAUUUGACUUUUUUUCAUUGGCAUUUUUAUCACAGAGAAGAAGAAAAUGGAAGACAACGACAAUUCUUCCACCCUUGUUCCAAAUAAUUCAACUAAAGAGUUAAGCAGGAUUCAGAUUGAGCAACAUGCUGAUGUGGAUUAUCAUGUUUGUCCAUCAUUAGAGGCACCAAAAGAGGACAUUGGGGAAGACAGAAUGAAUUCAAGUGCUGGGUUUGGGGAUGCUUCAGCAGAUGGAAGAUCGGUUUCUCCUACUAAGGAAUCGCCAUCAUGCUCUAUGUUGGAUGCUGAGAAACCAUAUUCAUCUUCAAACAGAGUGAUGUCUGCUUUUCCAGAGGCCAACACCCAACGAGUAGGCAAGUUUGAGACAGAUCUGAUGGCUCCUCCUCCUAUGGGGCUGUCCCCAGAAGUGGAUGACUUGUCAAUGGGUGAUUUCAUAUCAGAAACUUAAGCUUUGGCACCGGAUGUGGAAAUGAAGAAGGAAAAUAGUGCUUAGGUGGAAAGACCAGUUAAGAAGGAGAAAAUUCCAGAAGAAAUUGAAGAGGCAAAAAUUGUAACAUUUAAGGAGAAGUUUGAUGUGCUAAAACAUGAUUUGGAGAAGCAAAACAAUGCCAAUGACAUAAAGACAAACAAUAAAUUGGAAGAGCAGGAUGGGAAUAGGGAACUAGCUACUAUAUUAUCAAAUCCCAAAGAAUAGAUAACUGGUGCACUGUCUGGCAUGCUGGACCUCAUAUUGUUCUUUGUUGUUAACUUCAUUUGUCAUUUCAAAGAAGCAUUUCCCUUAGAAAAAAAGGUACAAAUAGAAGCAUGCUUUUGCAGUCCUUCUAUUUCUUCUAUUCAAUGAAGCCAAUGAUGUGAAAAUGAAGAACUUUUGACUGCCAUAGGUGGUCCUUCUAUCAAAUACUAGCCUCAUUUAUAGAAUAUAAGUUAACUUUCCUAGAGACUAUGUUACUUACACACUAAUUUGACUUAUAUAUUAAAAUACUUGGAGUAUGUAUUUUAAUAUCAGGGCAUAUAAUAUAUUUUUUAUAUGAGCAAGCAGAUUUCUUAGCAGGACAUAUAAUGUAUUUUAAUCACGUAAUUCUUUGUAUUCUAUUUUUAGGUUGAUUUUAUUUUUAUUUUUUAUGAGAAUGAUAAGUUUAAUAUCUGAAGAAGUUAAACUUGAAAGCUGCAUUUGCUUCUUUUUUUUACUUCGAUGUCUAUGCUCUUAAAAUGUGUUGUUUGCUUAUAAUUUUCAGCUUGUUAUUGCAGAUUACCUUUUGUCUUCUCUUUUCUCUUGUGAU